UACGAAGGGGGCUAGCGUUGUUCGGAAUUACUGGGCGUAAAGGGCGCGUAGGCGGCUCUGUCAGUCAGGCGUGAAAGCCCCGGGCUCAACCUGGGAACUGCGCUUGAUACUGCAGGGCUUGAGUUCCGGAGAGGAUGGUGGAAUUCCCAGUGUAGAGGUGAAAUUCGUAGAUAUUGGGAAGAACACCGGUGGCGAAGGCGGCCAUCUGGACGGACACUGACGCUGAGGCGCGAAAGCGUGGGGAGCAAACAGG
rnacentral:rRNA from 1 species